CCUACGGGUGGCAGCAGUAGGGAAUCUUCCACAAUGGGCGCAAGCCUGAUGGAGCAACGCCGCGUGUGUGAUGAAGGGUUUCGGCUCGUAAAACACUGUUAUAAGAGAAGAACGGCACUGAGAGUAACUGUUCAGUGUGUGACGGUAUCUUACCAGAAAGGAGCGGCUAAAUACGUGCCAGCAGCCGCGGUAAUACGUAUGUUCCAAGCGUUAUCCGGAUUUAUUGGGCGUAAAGCGAGCGCAGACGGUUAUCUAAGUCUGAAGUGAAAGCCCUCAGCUCAACUGAGGAAUGGCUUUGGGAACUGGAUGACUUGAGUGCAGUAGAGGAAAGUGGAACUCCAUGUGUAGCGGUGAAAUGCGUAGAUAUAUGGAAGAACACCAGUGGCGAAGGCGGCUUUCUGGACUGUAACUGACGUUGAGGCUCGAAAGUGUGGGUAGCAAACAGGAUUAGAUACCCUGGUAGUC
rnacentral:rRNA from 1 species